rnacentral:rRNA from 1 species
UUGGUUAAGUUAGAAAGGGCGCACGGUGGAUGCCUUGGCACUAGGAGCCGAAGAAGGACGGGACUAACACCGAUAUGCUUUGGGGAGCUGUACGUAAGCGUUGAUCCAGAGAUUUCCGAAUGGGGGAACCCACUAUCUUUAGUCGGAUAGUAUCCUUACGUGAAUACAUAGCGUGAGGAAGGCAGACCCAGGGAACUGAAACAUCUAAGUACCUGGAGGAAGAGAAAGAAAAAUCGAUUUCCUGAGUAGCGGCGAGCGAAACGGAAAGAGCCCAAACCAAGAAGCUUGCUUCUUGGGGUUGUAGGACACUCUAUACGGAGUUACAAAAGAAAGUUAUAAAUGAAGCGGUCUGGAAAGGCCCGCCAAAGACGGUAACAGCCCGGUAGUUGAAAUGGCUUUCCCUCCAGAGUGGAUCCUGAGUACGGCGGAACACGUGAAAUUCCGUCGGAAUCCGGGAGGACCAUCUCCCAAGGCUAAAUACUCCCUAGUGACCGAUAGUGAACCAGUACCGUGAGGGAAAGGUGAAAAGCACCCCGGAAGGGGAGUGAAACAGUUCCUGAAACCGUGUGCCUACAAGUAGUUAGAGCCCGUUAAUGGGUGAUAGCGUGCCUUUUGUAGAAUGAACCGGCGAGUUACGAUUUGUUGCAAGGUUAAGCGGAAAAAGCGGAGCCGUAGCGAAAGCGAGUCUGAAUAGGGCGCAUAAGUAACAGGUCGUAGACCCGAAACCAGGUGAUCUACCCAUGUCCAGGAUGAAGGUAAGGUAAUACUUACUGGAGGUCCGAACCCACGCACGUUGAAAAGUGCGGGGAUGAGGUGUGGGUAGCGGAGAAAUUCCAAUCGAACUUGGAGAUAGCUGGUUCUCUCCGAAAUAGCUUUAGGGCUAGCCUCGAGGUAAAGAGUCAUGGAGGUAGAGCACUGUUUGGACUAGGGGCCCUUCUCGGGUUACCGAAUUCAGAUAAACUCCGAAUGCCAUGUACUUAUACUCGGGAGUCAGACUGCGAGUGAUAAGAUCCGUAGUCGAAAGGGAAACAGCCCAGACCACCAGUUAAGGUCCCCAAAUAUAUGUUAAGUGGAAAAGGAUGUGGGGUUGCUUAGACAACCAGGAUGUUGGCUUAGAAGCAGCCACCAUUGAAAGAGUGCGUAAUAGCUCACUGGUCGAGUGACCCCGCGCCGAAAAUGUACCGGGGCUAAACAUAUUACCGAAACUGUGGAUGAACCUCUUUAGAGGUUCGUGGUAGGAGAGCGUUCUAAGGGCGGUGAAGUCAGACCGGAAGGACUGGUGGAGCGCUUAGAAGUGAGAAUGCCGGUAUGAGUAGCGAAAGAAGGGUGAGAAUCCCUUCCACCGAAUAUCUAAGGUUUCCUGAGGAAGGCUCGUCCGCUCAGGGUUAGUCGGGACCUAAGCCGAGGCCGAUAGGCGUAGGCGAUGGACAACAGGUAGAGAUUCCUGUACCAGUGCUAAUUGUUUAACCGAUGGGGUGACACAGAAGGAUAGGGAAUCGCACGAAUGGAAAUGUGCGUCCAAGCAGUGAGUGUGAGAAGUAGGCAAAUCCGCUUCUCGCGAAGCAUGAGCUGUGAUGGGGAAGGAAAUUAAGUACGGAAGUUCCUGAUUUCACGCUGUCAAGAAAAGCCUCUAGGAAGAGUAGUACUGCCCGUACCGCAAACCGACACAGGUAGAUGAGGAGAGAAUCCUAAGGUGAGCGAGAGAACUCUCGUUAAGGAACUCGGCAAAAUGACCCCGUAACUUCGGGAGAAGGGGUGCUCUAUUAGGGUGCAAGCCCGAGAGAGCCGCAGUGAAUAGGCCCAGGCGACUGUUUAGCAAAAACACAGGUCUCUGCAAAACCGUAAGGUGACGUAUAGGGGCUGACGCCUGC